rnacentral:lncRNA from 1 species
AUUGAUUAUCAAACACCACCACAGGUGGAAAAACGGGUUGAGAAACUCCAAGCAUUCAAAUGCUCCACCACAAUUGAUCAGUGUAUGAAAUUUUUCGACAUUUUUAUGCUGUUUGGAACAACAUUAAUGAAAUUAAUGGAAAAAAAAAAUAUCCAAAAACACAUAAAAAAAAAAAGAACAUUGAUGAAAUUAGAAGUACUAAAAUCAACAAGAACAUAGGUGCAUAGGUGCUAAAUUACAUCCCACUUUAAAAGUACUAAACAUCCCACAUUAAAAAUUAACCCUCAAACAACAACUAAAAAUAUCCAAAAUCACACAAGCAAAAAAAAAAGAAACAUGAAUGAAAUUAAAAGUAUUAUUUUAGACCAAAUUAAGUGUGGUUGAGUGCAUUGUAACACCAUGCAACCUAAAAAAAUCAAGUAUAAAAAUGAAUAAAAAUCAAGUAUUCUAAUAUUACGGGACGGGACGGGAUUUUUCGGGAUAGUCUCGUCCCGUCCCGUCCCGUUAUGGUAAUGUUAAAACGGGACGGGACGGGAUUGCUAUUUUUCAAAAACCUAUCUCGUCCCGUCCCGCUAACUUUCGGGACGGGACCGGUACGGGAUCAGGAUUCCGGUACGUAAGUGCCCAGCCCUACUACCAACACU